rnacentral:rRNA from 1 species
GAUGAACGCUGGCGGCGUGCCUAAUACAUGCAAGUCGAGCGAACAGAUGAGAAGCUUGCUUCUCUGAUGUUAGCGGCGGACGGGUGAAUAACACGUGGGUAACCUACCUAUAAGACUGGAAUAACUCCGGGAAACCGGGGCUAAUACCGGAUAAUAUUUUGAACCGCAUGGUUCAAUAGUGAAAGACGGUUUCGGCUGUCACUUAUAGAUGGACCCGCGCCGUAUUAGCUAGUUGAUAAGGUAACGGCUUACCAAGGCGACGAUACGUAGCCGACCUGAGAGGGUGAUCGGCCACACUGGAACUGAGACACGGUCCAGACUCCUACGGGAGGCAGCAGUAGGGAAUCUUCCGCAAUGGGCGGAAGCCUGACGGAGCAACGCCGCGUGAGUGAUGAAGGUCUUCGGAUCGUAAAACUCUGUUGUUAGGGAAGAACAAAUUUGUUAGUAACUGAACAAGUCUUGACGGUACCUAACCAGAAAGCCACGGCUAACUACGUGCCAGCAGCCGCGGUAA